GAUGAACGCUGGCGGCGUGCCUAAUACAUGCAAGUCAAGCGAACAGACGAGGAGCUUGCUCCUCUGACGUUAGCGGCGGACGGGUGAGUAACACGUGGAUAACCUACCUAUAAGACUGGGAUAACUUCGGGAAACCGGAGCUAAUACCGGAUAAUAUAUUGAACCGCAUGGUUCAAUAGUGAAAGACGGUUUUGCUGUCACUUAUAGAUGGAUCCGCGCCGCAUUAGCUAGUUGGUAAGGUAACGGCUUACCAAGGCAACGAUGCGUAGCCGACCUGAGAGGGUGAUCGGCCACACUGGAACUGAGACACGGUCCAGACUCCUACGGGAGGCAGCAGUAGGGAAUCUUCCGAAAUGGGCGAAAGCUGGACGGAGCAACGCGGGGUGGGUGAUGAAGGUCUUCGGAUCGUAAAACUUUGUAUUAGGGAAGAACAAAUGUGUAAGUAACUAUGCACGUCUUGACGGUACCUAAUCAGAAAGCCACGGCUAACUACGUG
rnacentral:rRNA from 1 species